UCGGGAAUUUUGGGCAAUGGGCGAAAGCCUGACCCAGCAACGCCGCGUGAGGGAUGAAGUAUUUCGGUAUGUAAACCUCGAAAGAAUGGGAAGAAUAAAUGACGGUACCAUUUAUAAGCUCCGGCUAACUACGUACCAGCAGCCGCGGUAAUACGUAGGGAGCAAGCGUUGUUCGGAUUUACUGGGCGUAAAGGGCGCGUAGGCGGCGCGGUAAGUCACUUGUGAAAUCUCUGAGCUUAACUCAGAACGGCCAAGUGAUACUGCUGUGCUAGAGUGCGGAAGAGGCAACCGGAAUUCUUGGUGUAGCGGUGAAAUGCGUAGAUAUCAAGAGGAACACCUGAGGCGAAGGCGGGUUGCUGGGCCGACACUGACGCUGAUGCGCGAAAGCCAGGGGAGCAAACG
rnacentral:rRNA from 1 species